rnacentral:tRNA from 1 species
AGGGGAAUAGCUAAGUUGGAUAAGGCACCGGACUUUGAUUCCGGUAUUCGAAGGUUCGAGUCCUUCUUCCCCUG